CAGGCAAUACGGGCUGUCGCGCAGCAGGCGUUAAGCGUGCUUCGAGGAAAGUCCGAGCAACGGAGACAACCGUACUUCCUAACGGGAAGGUGCGCAUUCGGGCAAUCGGUGCGCAACAGAAAGUGCCGCAGAAAACAAACCACCCGCUUAAAACGGGUAAGGGUGAAAACGCGGGGUAAGAGCCCACGUGUUCGUAUAGUGAUAUACGGAUAGGCAAACCUUACGGGUUGAAAGAACAAAUAUACCGCCAGCGAAAGCAGCCGCAGGGCUGCUUUUAAAAUCUUGUCUCGGAUUUGGCGGGGGGUAGUUCGAUAGAGCGUGUCAGCAAUGGCUCGCCUAGAUAAAUGACAGUCGCCUGCCGCAACGCAGGUACAGAACUCGGCUUACAGUAUUGCCGUUUUU
rnacentral:RNase_P_RNA from 1 species